AUCGAACGCUGGCGGCAGGCUUAACACAUGCAAGUAGAGCGAGCGGCGGAGGUGAGAGUAAUGUCGGGAAAACGCCCUGAAGGGGGGGGAUAACUACUGGAAAGGGUAGCAAAUACGGAAUACAACAAGAUGUGCCAAAAUGGGAUUAGAUAGUGGGUGGGGAAAUGGCUCACCAAGUCGACGAUCCCUAGCUGGUCUGAGAGGAUGACCAGCCAAACUGGACCUGAGACCCGGUCCAGACUCCUACGGGAGGCAGCAGUGGGGAAUAUUGCACAAUGGGCGCAAGCCUGAUGCAGCCAUGCCGCGUGUGUGAAGAAGGCCUUCGGGUUGUAAAGCACUUUCAGCGGGGAGGCGUUACUCGCAGAAGAAGCACCGGCUAACUCCGUGCCAGCAGCCGCGGUAAUAC
rnacentral:rRNA from 1 species